AACGCAAAUUGCGCUCGAGGCCUUCGGGUCAAGAGCAUGUCUGUUUCAGCGUCGGCUUUACCAUCAAAACCCCUUUCCUUGUUGAAGGAGGGAUUUUGGAUCUGACGGUCUGCAGCCCCGUGCUGCAGUCCGUUGAAAAGCAUCGGCUGUGGUGACCCAUGAAAGGGGAUCCGGAUUGGUAGGUGACCUUACGGUUACAAAGCCACCGGAAUCCUUGGCGUCGCUGCCGCCUGCAGGAAACAAAGGGGUUGCGGCUCCUUUCCUUUCGACCUGAAAUCAGGCAAGACCACCCGCUGAACUUAA
rnacentral:misc_RNA from 1 species